AUCUAAUGGAGAGUCUUGAUGGGGUCCCCAGGAAGGUAUCUAAUGGAGGGUCUGGAUGGGGUCCCCAGGAAGGUAUCUAAUGGAGGGUCUUGAUGGGGUCCCCAGGAAGGUAUCUAAUGGAGAGUCUUGAUGAGGUCCCCAUGAAGGUAUCUAAUGGAGAGUCUUGAUGGGGUCCCCAGGAAGGUAUCAAAUGGAGAGUCUUGAUGGGGUCCCCAGGAAGGUAUAUAAUGGAGGGUCUUGAUGGGGUCCCCAGGAAGGUAUCUAAUGGAGGGUCUGGAUGGGGUCCCCAGGAUGGUAUCAAAUGGAGGGUCUUGAUGGGGUCCCCAGGAAGGUAUCUAAUGGAGAGUCUUGAUGGGGUCCCCAGGAAGGGAUCUAAUGGAGGGUCUGGAUGAGGUCUCAAUGGAGGUUCUUGAUGGGGUACCCAGGGAGGUAUC